UGGCGUCCUUAGAAACGAAAUACUUAAGGUUGUGUCUAAGGAGACAAGGUUAAACUCUUUGAAGGUGUUGGUAACCAUGUUUAGUAUCUUAUGGGUGUUAAAAAUAACUGAUUAGUUGUUAGUUAAUUGUUAUUAUGAAUCAGGCGCACACUGCCAAAAGUGUUAGUAUUGUUCCACUUGAUAGUAAUAUACCUUUAUUUUGUUUUUCACAUUUUAUUCGCUUUUUUUGGAGAGUUGGUUGAUUUAUUGGGCGUCUGAUAUUGACAUAGACAGUGUAAGUCGAAUCACACGAGGAUGUCUGCAUCUGUUAAACUAAGCCCGUCACCUCCAUCUCUGCCGAAGCCAGCGGGACGGAAGGUUAAAAUCAAUAAAGCCGUUCCGUUUACCGGAGAAUCCGAAAGAGCCCGCAGAGAGCAGCCGGCCUCUGGGGAUCGGUCCAGCCUGCAGCUCCCGUCCCUACGCAAUGAUUUCAUUCCCGAUGAGCUGUUCAACUCGCUCAUUUCUACGGUGAAUCCCUUGGAGACAUCCAGAUCCUCCAGAGUCACCAGGAAAGGCUUCAGGGUCCGUGGUUUGGGCAAAACAGAUGCAGCCUGGUACCACGCAUUUGGGAGAAAGAAAUACAAGUAUUUUCUGGACCAGCCGACUUCCGUGACCGGAGCUGGGAGAGAUAUCUCCUUCCUACACGAUGCCAUAUCCGCGCAGAAGAAAGUGAGUCUUCUGCCCCCGGUGGCAGACCUGGGAAGCGUCCAGAAGGAUGUAAACCUGAUGGGGAGUCUGAUACCAGAGGAGUAUCACAUUGUAAAGAACAAAGGUGUAGCUGGCCUGACAUACUAUGAGGACAAGUACACCAUCCUCCUGGAGGAUGAGGAGAACAGGCUGAAGAUCUUCCCAUCACUGAAACCCAGCGGGAGGCUGGAAGCGGUGCAGCUGAUGAGAGUGAUGGAUGCAAUGCUGGACAAGGCCGGGGUCAAUCGGGACUUCCCAGAGCUGAGGGAGUCCUCACAGAUGCAGGGUCUUCUGGAGUUAGUGCAGGUGGAGCAGAACAUCUACAACGUUGUCUUCCAUGAGGUGAUCCGGCAGGUCAGCGUGGAAUGUGCGGAGAGAGGGCAGCUGCUGUCCAAGCUCAGACAGCGGUAUGCCGCCCUGCUGGACCGCAUCCCACGGCAACUGAAGGGGCUGCACACGGAGAGCCUGGCUCAGCGGGCCCUGGACCGGCGUCUGAUGGAGGAGAUCACUGGCUUCAAGAGCUCCGUCUCUCAGCUCAGCAACGAGCUGAGCAACAUGAAGACCCAAGAUGAAAACAUGUCAGGACAAGUAGCCAAGGCACAGGAUGACCUAUCCAAGGCACUGGAACAGUCACAGAGGAACUCAGACCUGGUCGCAGAGUACCACCAGCUGUAUGAGAUGCAGCGCCGGAGGCUGGAGGCUCAGGUGGCCCAGCUGACUGAGGAGAGGAACCUCUGGAGCAGAGUCAGUUACAGUGUGGUUCUUAAGGUGAUUGAGGCGAAGAAACUCCAGGUGGCUGAGAGGCUGCACGUCAGCGAGCGGACCUGGGCCGAGCUGGCAGAGCACUUUGUCACACUGCUGACAUCCAGGGACGCAGAGGAUGUGAGCUGCAUCCUGCAGUUGACAGACCAGUGGAAAGACCACGUACGUGGUUUCGUGCGGGAGAUGGAGACGGCCGAACGCAGCCAUUGUGAAAAAAUGGGGGCCGUCGGGGCCGGCGUUGCAAAAUGGCACCAGCGGUCUCUGGCUAAUGUCAAGGGACUAGACAAGAUGUCCAAUAAGGAGUCAGAGGAAAGUUUGCUUAAUGACAUAAAACACUGGCUGGCAGCAUUGAACCUGCAAAGUGACCUUUAUGCAGGCAGCGACCUUCGCUUCCAGGAGACCCUGGACUUGCUGUCGCAGCUGCACGAGGGAUGGCUGGAGGUGGGCUUGCGGCUUUUUAAGAGGCACCUUCAGCCCGAUGGGCAGCCCCCUGCGGGGUGGCGAGCCAUGCAGAAUCUGAAUGCGACUAUCUCAGAGCUCCACAUGCAGCUGGGCACUCGUGCAGCUGGGGAGAGCGGUGCCCGCAGGCUGCUGAUAUCUCUAGCCAGCACGAUGGAGCCCUGGGCUGCCAAGCUAACGGCAGCGAGUGACUGGCCAGGAGGCAUGCCCCCUUGUGAUUGGUUGCAGCUGGAGAAGGCUCUGGCCAACUGGAUAAAGCUAACAGAUGGAGGCCUGGAGCAAGUGUCCAGGACCCAGCCAGGGAGCGAGAAGCAGAGUCCCCACAUCAGGAUAAAUGUUGAUGAGGUUCUCGCUAUACUACGUGAGUUUGUCUUCACGCAAAGCAGCUUUUUUGACUGCGAAAACCAAAAGUUAAGAGAGGAGGUGAACUCUAUUCACACCUCCCUGACUCGCUGGAUGGUAGCUCUGCUUCUCCUUAUGGUUCCCAAUUACACCGGUGACCCCGAGGCACCCCAGUUACCAGGCCCCGAAGGAGACGGCUACCCUCUCACAGUACAGGAGCUGGAGGAGGACGCCAGAUGCGUCGUGCAAAAGCUGGACAGAUUCUCCAAGUAUCUCAUCAACUUAUGUCAACCUGUUGUUGAAGAGGACAUCCAAAGGGGAAUGGGAGAUGAGUCAGAAAGUGAGCUUGUUGAGCUCAAAAAAUUACAGCGGGAGUGUGGAGAGUGGAUAGACGCGUGUCAGAUCCUGCUGUCAGGUCUGAGGGGACAUCCGGUGGACCUGCAGGUGACCACGACCGUCGCCUGGGCUGUGACAGAGUCCGGCGCUGACGUCCUUCCCGCUGUAGAGUCCCACAAAGAAUUGUUGGUGGAUCAAGUGACAGGGUCAUCUGCAGCCUCGGAGCUGGGAGGAGCAGUGCUGGGAGAGCAGGAGGUGCCAGAUAGUCCAGAAGAAGCAGCCCAUCUGAAGCUGAUUGGUCAUGACGGCGACAUUGUCGAACAGAGCCUGGGGGCAGAAACUGUACUGCUGGCAGCGACGGAGACCCAGGUCAUGCGCCCACAGACUCCCAGUGCGCAGAGAGCCUUUGAUGCCCUGGACACCAUUGGGCUGCUCCAGCAGCAGUUACUAGGGGCAGAGCAGCGGGCCCUAAGCGCAGAAGAACGGGCUCUGAGCAUGGAGGAGUCGCUGCAGGCUGCACUGGUCAGGAUCCACGAGCUGGAGCAGCAGAUCCAGGGAGGAGGCGCCAUGGAGGAGAGAGAUGACAGCGUUUUGGCACCAGCACCUAAAGGAGAGUCCCCAGACCCCAAACCAGCGAGUGCAAAGACAAAAAGCAGGAGGCCAAAGCUGGCGCAGAAGCCCUGAUCUCCAUUGUCAGGCCACAGGACUCUCCGGAAGACACUAAUCCCAGUGUUAGGAAGCAGUAAACAUUCAGCUGUCCGGGUGUAUCUCUCAGUAGGGGGACACCAAAGUCAAGCAGAGCUGGAUGCUCGCCCUGGAACCAGAGCCCAGACAUAAACACAAACUUCAUGUCCUGUUACGUAAUGCUCCGAAUCCCAGGCCCCAUCACACUUUUAGAAGCACGUCCGCCCUUGAGGUAGCCAACAACUUGAGAGGCCCUCGUGCCGAGCCGCGUGGAAACCGAAGCACCUGGAUUUCCUUGGUGAUGUCCUU